UGGGGAAUAUUGCACAAUGGGCGAAAGCCUGAUGCAGCAACGCCGCGUGAGUGAUGAAGGCCUUCGGGUUGUAAAAGCUCUGUCUUUUGGGACGAUAAUGACGGUACCAAAGGAGGAAGCCACGGCUAACUACGUGCCAGCAGCCGCGGUAAUACGUAGGUGGCAAGCGUUGUCCGGAUUUACUGGGCGUAAAGGAUGCGUAGGCGGAUUUUUAAGUGAGAUGUGAAAACCCUAAGCUUAACUUGGGGACUGCAUUUCAUACUGGAAAUCUAGAGUGCGGGAGAGGAGAAUGGAAUUCCUAGUGUAGCGGUGAAAUGCGUAGAGAUUAGGAAGAACACCAGUGGCGAAGGCGAUUCUCUGGACCGUAACUGACGCUGAGGCAUGAAAGCGUGGGUAGCAAACAGGAUUAGAUACCCUGGUAGUCCACGCCGUAAACGAUGAGUACUAGGUGUAGGAGGUAUCGACCCCUUCUGUGCCGCAGUUAACACAAUAAGUACUCCGCCUGGGAAGUACGAUCGCAAGAUUAAAACUUAAAUGAAUUGACGGGGUCAUAGCUGUUUCCU
rnacentral:rRNA from 1 species